GAACAAUGUUGGACUGUGUUUAAAGUAAAUAGUCUGGAUUGAUGAAAGUUGCAUUCGAGAAUUCAUCAACAGGCAUUUACUUCAACUGCAGUUUGAACAAAAUGC
rnacentral:miRNA from 16 species